AGUGAACGCUGGCGGUAGGCCUAACACAUGCAAGUCGAACGAGUGGCGGACGGGUGAGGAAUACAUGGGAAACUGCUCGGUGGAGGGGGAUAACGUAGGGAAACGUACGCUAAUACCGCAUACGAUCGGAUGAGCCCAUGUGGGAUUAGCUAGUGGGCGGGGUAAAGGCGCACCAAGGCGACGAUCCGUAGCUGGUCUGAGAGGAUGACCAGCCACACUGGAACUGAGACACGGUCCAGACUCCUACGGGAGGCAGCAGUGGGGAAUAUUGGACAAUGGGCGCAAGCCUGAUGCAGCCAUGCCGCGUGGGUGAAGAAGGCCUUCGGGUUGUAAAGCCCUUUUUUUGGGAAAGCGGUACCCAAAGAAUAAGCACCGGCUAACUUCGUGCCAGCAGCCGCGGUAAUUC
rnacentral:rRNA from 1 species